CUCUGACAUCCUCACAUGAGUAAUGCCAGUUUGCAGAAUCUGGGCCUUACGUUGCAGGAGGUAGUCACAGAAAAGGGAUGGAAAUGACAUUCAUCUGUCUUCACAACAUCUCUGAAACCUUGUUUACAAGGAAGACAAGUUGCACCAAAGCAAAUAAGACUGGAGCUGUUGACAGACAAGAUGCAGUCAGGAAUUUUUAAUCAAGAGACCAUGUUUGCUGAAGUGACUGUUCACAUCUUUCCUAUGAAAUAAUUCAACUAUCUAUAUUUUCCCUCCCAUUGGAAGUGAAGGUUGCUGAUGUGAUGGCCUCCUUAAAAUGAUGCAAUGGAAUACUACUCUGGAGUAUGAAACAUUUUACCGAGAAGAGGAAUAUGCAGCCUUUGUAAUUUCUCCUUCUUGCACUGCUAUAAAGGCUGGGUUCUCUUUUAUGUUUGUGGUAGAAGAGCAUAAUUCCAUCCCCUUGGUUAGCAGUGAAUGCUUG